GCAUUGUGCACUUGUGGUAGCUUUAUUGCAGUUUUGUACAAUUUUACAAGCAAUUUAUUUAGUAUUAUCGAAAUGAACGACGUAGAUUUCGAAAAGGUUAGACCGUUAUUUGAAAGUGACGAUAAGGAAUGCUUACUGGUGUUCUGUGGAGAAUAUUUCAAGCAGAUAAAUUCGAUGGAUGCAAGAAAAUUGUCUUGGCCGAAAUUAUCUAGCUGAGAUGUGUUGAUUUCUCGAAUUCUCGUCGUCUUUCAGGAGAUUAUAAAGAGGUGUAUGGCAAUAAG